ACUUAGAUAGCUUAUAAAAGAGCAUAAUAUUGAAGAUAUUAAGGAAAUAGAAUUAUUUUUAAGUA
rnacentral:tRNA from 1 species